CAUGCAAGUCGAACGCGAAAGGGGGGCAACCCCCGAGUAGAGUGGCGAACGGGUGAGUAAUACAUCGGAACGUGUCCAGUAGCGGGGGAUAACCUCUCGAAAGAGAGGCUAAUACCGCAUACGACCUACGGGUGAAAGAGGGGGAUCGCAAGACCUCUCACUAUUGGAGCGGCCGAUGUCGGAUUAGCUAGUUGGUGGGGUAACGGCCUACCAAGGCAACGAUCCGUAGCUGGUCUGAGAGGACGGCCAGCCACACUGGAACUGAGACACGGUCCAGACUCCUACGGGAGGCAGCAGUGGGGAAUUUUGGACAAUGGGCGCAAGCCUGAUCCAGCCAUGCCGCGUGAGUGAAGAAGGCCUUCGGGUUGUAAAGCUCUUUCGGCUGGGACGAAAAGGUCCGUGCUAACACCACGGAUCCAUGACGGUACCAGCAGAAGAAGCACCGGCUAACUACGUGCCAGCAGCCGCGGUAAUACGUAGGGUGCAGGCGUUAAUCGGAAUUACUGGGCGUAAAGCGUGCGCAGGCGGUUUGCUAAGACAGGUGUGAAAUCCCCGGGCUUAACCUGGGAACUGCGCUUGUUACUGGCAAGCUAGAGUGUGGCAGANGGGGGGUGGAAUUCCACGUGUAGCAGUGAAAUGCGUAGAGAUGUGGAGGAACACCGA
rnacentral:rRNA from 1 species